rnacentral:rRNA from 1 species
ACGACUUCGGCACGGAUAUCUCGCUCACGCAUCGAUGAAAACGUAGCAAAUGCGUUCUUUGGUGUGAAUUGCAGAUCCGUGAACCAUCGAGUUUUUUGAACGCAGUUGCGCCGAAAGCCAUUCGGUUGAGGCAUUGCCUGGUCGUCA